rnacentral:rRNA from 1 species
UACGUAGGGUGCGAGCGUUGUCCGGAAUUAUUGGGCGUAAAGGGCUCGUAGGCGGUUUGUCACGUCGGGAGUGAAAACUCGGGGCUUAACCCCGAGCCUGCUUCCGAUACGGGCAGACUAGAGGUAUGCAGGGGAGAACGGAAUUCCUGGUGUAGCGGUGAAAUGCGCAGAUAUCAGGAGGAACACCGGUGGCGAAGGCGGUUCUCUGGGCAUUACCUGACGCUGAGGAGCGAAAGUGUGGGGAGCGAUCCGG